AACGCACCUUGCGCUCCAUGGUAUUCCGUGGAGCAUGCCUGUUUGAGUGUCUUGAAAACAAUCAACCCUGCCUUUGGUUUCACGACCGCUGGCCUGGCUUGGAUCUGGGCGCUUGCCAUCUUUGCGGAUGGCUCGCCUCAAAUGAAUUAGCUGGACUUUGUCUAGAGGACUGGUUUGACUUGGCGUAAUAAGUAUUUCGCUGAGGACACCGCUUGCGGUGGCCGACCUCUUGGACUCGUUGUCUGCUCUCCAACCUGUCGUUCUUGACAACACCAUUUUUUUCUAAUCUGGCCUCAAAUCAGGUAGGACUACCCGCUGAACUUAA
rnacentral:misc_RNA from 1 species